GAUGAAGAACGUAGCGAAAUGCGAUACGUAAUGUGAAUUGCAGAAUUCAGUGAAUCAUCGAGUCUUUGAACGCACAUUGCGCCCCCUGGUAUUCCGGGGGGCAUGCCUGUUCGAGCGUCAUUUCACCACUCAAGCCUCGCUUGGUAUUGGGCAACGCGGUCCGCCGCGUGCCUCAAAUCGACCGGCUGGGUCUUCUGUCCCCUAAGCGUUGUGGAAACUAUUCGCUAAAGGGUGCUCGGGAGGCUACGCCGUAAAACAAACCCAUUUCUAAGGUUGACCUCGGAUCAGGUAGGGAUACCCGCUGAACUUAAGCAUAUCAAUAAGCGGAGGA
rnacentral:misc_RNA from 1 species